GACGAACGCUGGCGGCGUGCCUAAUACAUGCAAGUUGAGCGCUGAAGGUUGGUACUUGUACCAACUGGAUGAGCAGCAAACGGGUGAGUAACGCGUGGGGAAUCUGCCUUUGAGCGGGGGACAACAUUUGGAAACGAAUGCUAAUACCGCAUAAAAACUUUAAACACAAGUUUUAAGUUUGAAAGAUGCAAUUGCAUCACUCAAAGAUGAUCCCGCGUUGUAUUAGCUAGUUGGUGAGGUAAAGGCUCACCAAGGCGAUGAUACAUAGCCGACCUGAGAGGGUGAUCGGCCACAUUGGGACUGAGACACGGCCCACACGCCUACGGGAGGCAGCAGUAGGGAAUCUUCGGCAAUGGACGAAAGUCUGAACGAGCAACGCCGGGUGAGUGAAGAAGGCUGUCGGAUCGUAAAACUCUGUUGGUAGAGAAGAACGUUGGUGAGAGUGGAAAGCUCAUAAAGUGACGGUAACUACACAGAAAGGGACGGCUAACUACGUG
rnacentral:rRNA from 1 species